UUGACGGGACCGCACAAGCAGCGAGCAUGUGGUUUAAUUCGAAGCAACGCGAAGAACCUUACCAAGGCUUGACAUCCCUUGACGCAUGCAGAAAUGCAUGUUCCCUUCGGGGCAAGGAGACAGGUGGUGCAUGGUUGUCGUCAGCUCGUGUCGUGAGAUGUUGGGUUAAGUCCCGCAACGAGCGCAACCCUUAUCAUUAGUUGCCAGCGCGUAAUGGCGGGAACUCUAAUGAGACUGCCGGGAUAACUCGGAGGAAGGUGGGGACGACGUCAAAUCAUCAUGCCCCUUAUGUCUUGGGCUACACACGUGCUACAAUGGCCGGUACAAAGGGCUGCGAAGCCGCAAGGUGGAGCGAAUCCCAUAAAGCCGGUCCCAGUUCGGAUCGUGGGCUGCAACCCGCCCACGUGAAGCCGGAAUCGCUAGUAAUCGCGGAUCAGCAUGCCGCGGUGAAUACGUUCCCGGGCCUU
rnacentral:rRNA from 1 species